rnacentral:lncRNA from 1 species
UGAAAAUUUAGGUUUAGAUAAUAUUUUUGAAAGAAAAAUCGGAAACUAGGGGUUAAAACGUAAUUAAAAAAAUUGUGUCACGUAAGACGGCCCAGUCAGCAGCUUCGAAAAAUCAGAGCGCACCGCAUGGUAAGUCACGCUAACUCGGUGUCACCCGGGAAGCAACGCUGGCAAUCUGUGUGCUCGCGAUCAGACGGCCCAGAUGCGUUCCCCCGCGCGUGGACGAUCCGGAUCCAUUCCCUCAUCAAGGGCGAUCGAACAGUCAUGAUUAAACGUAAUAAACAGUCCAAAUUCGUUUC